rnacentral:rRNA from 1 species
UACGAACUGUGCAAACGUUAUUCGGAAUCACUGGGCUUAAAGGGUGCGUAGGCGGCUUAUCAAGUAGGGUGUGAAAGCCCCCGGCUUAACCGGAGAAUUGCGCCCUAAACUGACGAGCUGGAGUGGGACAGGGGUGUGUGGAACUUCCGGUGGAGCGGUGAAAUGUGUUGAUAUCGGAAGGAACGCCGGUGGCGAAAGCGACACACUGGGUCUCAACUGACGCUGAGGCACGAAAGCCAGGGAGCGAACGGG